rnacentral:rRNA from 1 species
GAUCCUGGCUCAGGAUAAACGCUGGCGGCGCACAUAAGACAUGCAAGUCGAACGAACUUAACCAUUAGUUUACUAUUGGAGCGGUUAGUGGCGGACUGGUGAGUAACACGUAAGCAACCUGCCUAUCAGAGGGGAACAACAGUUAGAAAUGACUGCUAAUACCGCAUAUGCCUUGAGUAUCACAUGGUACAAAAGGGAAAGGAGCAAUCCGCUGAUAGAUGGGCUUGCGUCUGAUUAGAUAGUUGGUGAGGUAACGGCCCACCAAGUCGACGAUCAGUAGCCGGACUGAGAGGUUGAACGGCCACAUUGGGACUGAGAUACGGCCCAGACUCCUACGGGAGGCAGCAGUCGGGAAUAUUGCGCAAUGGAGGAAACUCUGACGCAGUGACGCCGCGUGCAGGAAGAAGGUUUUCGGAUUGUAAACUGCUUUAGACAGGGAAGAAACAAGACAGUACCUGUAGAAUAAGCUCCGGCUAACUACGUG